rnacentral:misc_RNA from 1 species
UUCAACUAUAAAAUUAUUCUAAACAUAAAUUAUAUGAAAUUUAAUUAAAUUUCACAUUUUAAGUUGUAUCAUACGAAAUACAAUAAUCCACUAGAAAUGAAUUCUACGUUUCUAGUUCACUUAAAUUUAUCUUUCAAUUUGCUGUUGUCAAUUUUUUAGGGUCCAUUUGGAUGGGUGUGCAUUUGAAAUGAAUAUGGAUAAGGAUUUUUUCAUUUCAAGUGUAAAAAUUAUAAUUUCAAAUAUAAUAAUAAUUCUGUUUGCUUCUGUCCAAAUGAACCCUUUACAUUUACCUGGCACCUUUUUGAACUUCGCCAAAAUUAUCAAUAUUGUUUGCUUCUGAUUUAUUCCAAGUAAUAAGAAAAUGAUUUCUAGCUCCAUAUGAUUGUCGUUGUGCACUGCGGAAAUGUGUAAAAUUGCAAAGAAACAAAGCAAACACACAAAAUACUAAUAUUUACGUGGUUCACCCUCUCAACAUAGGGCUACAUCCACGAGCAUGCUAUCUUCCACUAUCUUCGAUAAUGAAUCAUCAAUUACAAACUCAAACUAUACUACCCAUCAACCUAAUUACACCCAAAAGAACCCAUACAACAUCGAACUAUUCAUAGUAAAUAUAUUAGUUAGU